CAGCCGCCGCGGUAAUACCGGCGGCCCGAGUGGCGGUCACUCUUAUUGGGCUUAAAGCGUCCGUAGCCGGGUUGGGGAGGCCUCCGGGAAAUCUGGCCGCUUAACGGUCAGAAUGCCGGAGGAUACUCCCAGCCUAGGGAGCGGGAGAGGCCGAGGGUAUUCCCGGAGUAGGGGGGAAAUCCUAUAAUCCCGGGAGGACCACCUGUGGCGAAGGCGCUCGGCUGGAACGCGUCCGACGGUGAGGGACGAAGGCCAGGGGAGCAAACCGGAUUAGAUACCCGGGUAGUCCUGGCUGUAAACGAUGCGGACUUUGUGUCGGACAAGCUAUGAGCUUGUCCGGUGCCGGAGGGAAACCGUUAAGUCCGCCGCCUGGGGAGUACGGCCGCAAGGCUGAAACUUAAAGGAAUUGGCGGG
rnacentral:rRNA from 1 species